AACUCAUGAAGAGGAUGCGAGGGAUCUGGCCUGUCGACCAUCCGGCAACCUGCUAUUUUAUAGCAAGGUGCCAAGCCUCCCCGUACGGGACCAUGAGCG
rnacentral:ncRNA from 2 species